rnacentral:rRNA from 1 species
AUGGCUCUGUUCAUGGCGCAUGCAAGCAUUGAGCUACCCUCGGCGACUCCAGUCGCAAAGGCUUUCAUCCACCUCGAUGAGCCAAAAGCACACGCUCUUCUCGGCGAUGGCUCCGGGAAGGACAAGGCUACGGGGUGGUGCCUCGACACCGGCGCCACCCACCACAUGACCGGUCGAAGGGAAUUCUUCGCCGAGCUCGACUCCGAUGCGCGAGGCUCCGUCAAGUUCGGGGAUGCCUCCACUGUGGAGAUAAAGGGCGUCGGCUCCGUCAUCUUCACCACCAAGAUGGGAGAGCACCGGCUGUUCACCGGUGUCUACUACAUCCCCGCGCUAAGGAAUUCCAUCAUCAGCUUGGGACAGCUGGAUGAGAACGGCUCAUGCGUGCUGAUUGAGCAUGGGGUCCUACGCAUCUGGGAUCGCCAGCGUCGCCUUCUCGCCAAGGUGCCCAGAGGUGAAAAUCGACUCUACGUCCUUGAUGUGCAGGUGGCACAACCGGUCUGUCUCGCUGUCCGUCGGGACGACGAGGCGUGGCAAUGGCAUGAGCGCUUUGGGCACCUUCACUUUGAGGCCCUGAAGCGUCUAAGUGCCAAGGAGAUGGUGCGAGGCCUGCCAUGCCUUGACCAUGUGGAGCAGUUCUGCGACAUCUGCGUGCUGACAAAGCAGAGACGACUCCCCUUUCCCUAA